rnacentral:rRNA from 1 species
UACGGAGGGGGCUAGCGUUAUCCGGAAUUACUGGGCGUAAAGGGUGCGUAGGUGGUUUCUUAAGUCAGAGGUGAAAGGCUACGGCUCAACCGUAGUAAGCCUUUGAAACUGGGAAACUUGAGUGCAGGAGAGGAGAGUGGAAUUCCUAGUGUAGCGGUGAAAUGCGUAGAUAUUAGGAGGAACACCAGUUGCGAAGGCGGCUCUCUGGACUGUAACUGACACUGAGGCACGAAAGCGUGGGGAUCAAACAGGAUUAGAUACCCCGGUAGUCCCUGAGCGGGCU